rnacentral:rRNA from 1 species
UACGGGGGGAGCAAGCGUUGUUCGGAUUUACUGGGCGUAAAGGGCGCGUAGGCGGCCACCGCAAGUCGACUGUGAAAUCUCCGGGCUUAACCCGGAAAGGUCAGCCGAUACUGCGGGGCUAGAGUGCAGAAGGGGCAACUGGAAUUCUCGGUGUAGCGGUGAAAUGCGUAGAUAUCGAGAGGAACACCUGCGGCGAAGGCGGGUUGCUGGGCAGACACUGCGCUGAGGCGCGAAAGCUAGGGGAGCGAACGGG